rnacentral:rRNA from 1 species
AUUGAACGCUGGCGGCAUGCCUUACACAUGCAAGUCGAACGGUAACAGGUCUUCGGAUGCUGACGAGUGGCGAACGGGUGAGUAAUACAUCGGAACGUGCCUAGUAGUGGGGGAUAACUACUCGAAAGAGUGGCUAAUACCGCAUGAGAUCUACGGAUGAAAGCAGGGGAUCGCAAGACCUUGUGCUACUAGAGCGGCCGAUGGCAGAUUAGGUAGUUGGUGGGAUAAAAGCUUACCAAGUCGACGGUCUGUAGCUGGUCUGAGAGGACGAUCAGCCACACUGUGACUGGGACACGGCCCAGACUCCUACGGGAGGCAGCAGUGGGGAAUUUUGGACAAUGGGCGCAAGCCUGAUCCAGCAGUGCCGCGUGCAGGAUGAAGGCCUUCGGGUUGUAAACUGCUUUUGUACGGAACGAAAAGCCCUGGGUUAAUACCCUGGGGUCAUGACGGUACCGUAAGAAUAAGCACCGGCUAACUACGUGCCAGCCGCCGCAGUAAGAC